rnacentral:rRNA from 1 species
GACGAACGCUGGCGGCGUGCUUAACACAUGCAAGUCGAACGGAAAGGCCCUGCUUUUGUGGGGUGCUCGAGUGGCGAACGGGUGAGUAACACGUGAGUAACCUGCCCUUGACUUUGGGAUAACUUCAGGAAACUGGGGCUAAUACCGGAUAGGAGCUCCUGCUGCAUGGUGGGGGUUGGAAAGUUUCGGCGGUUGGGGAUGGACUCGCGGCUUAUCAGCUUGUUGGUGGGGUAGUGGCUUACCAAGGCUUUGACGGGUAGCCGGCCUGAGAGGGUGACCGGCCACAUUGGGACUGAGAUACGGCCCAGCCUCCUACGCGAGGCAGCAGUGGGGAAUAUUGCACAAUGGGCGGAAGCCUGAUGCAGCAACGCCGCGUGCGGGAUGACGGCCUUCGGGUUGUAAACCGCUUUCGCCUGUGACGAAGCGUGAGUGACGGUAAUGGGUAAAGAAGCACCGGCUAACUACGUG